GAUGAACGCUGGCGGCGUGCUUAAUACAUGCAAGUCGAACGAAGUCAGUAGCAAUAUUGACUGAGUGGCGAACGGGUGAGUAACGCGUUGGUGACCUGCCCCGAAGAGAGGGAUAACAGUUCGAAAGGAUUGCUAAUACCCCAUGUGGUCAUUUGGAUUAGAUGCCUUAUGACUAAACGGAUUUAUUCGCUUCGGGAGGGCCUGCGUCCCAUCAGCUAGUUGGUAGGGUAACGGCCUACCAAGGCUAUGACGGGUAGGGGACCUGAGAGGGUGGACCCCCACAAUGGCACUGAAACACGGGCCAUACACCUACGGGUGGCAG
rnacentral:rRNA from 1 species